rnacentral:rRNA from 1 species
CUACGCACUCCUACGGGAGGCAGCAGUGGGGAAUAUUGCACAAUGGGCGCAAGCCUGAUGCAGCCAUGCCGCGUGUAUGAAGAAGGUCCUUCGGGUUGUAAAGUACUUUCAGCAGUGAGGAAGGUGGGUAUGUUAAUAGCAUACUCAUUUGACGUUAGCUGCAGAAGAAGCACCGGCUAACUCCGUGCCAGCAGCCGCGGUAAUACGGAGGGUGCGAGCGUUAAUCGGAAUUACUGGGCGUAAAGCGCAUGCAGGUGGUUUGUUAAGUCAGAUGUGAAAGCCCGGGGCUCAACCUCGGAAUUGCAUUUGAAACUGGCAAACUAGAGUACUGUAGAGGGGGUAGAAUUUCAGGUGUAGCGGUGAAAUGCGUAGAGAUCUGAAGGAAUACCGGUGGCGAAGGCGGCCCCCUGGACAGAUACUGACACUCAGAUGCGAAAGCGUGGGGAGCAAACAGGAUUAGAUACCCUGGUAG